GAAAGUAAGAAAGGGCGUAUGGCGGAUGCCUAGGCUCACGGAGGCGAUGAAGGACGUGAUAAGCUGCGAUAAGCUUCGGGUAGGUGCAAAUAACCCUUGAUCCGAAGAUUUCCGAAUGGGACAACCUAGCCGUCUGAAGGACGGUUACUCUUACCAAUGUAAGAGAGCUAACGCAGGGAACUGAAACAUCUUAGUACCUGCAGGAAGAGAAAAUAAAUGAAUGAUUCCCCCAGUAGUGGCGAGCGAACGGGGAACAGCCCAAACCGUUGACGUCGCAAGGCGCCAGCGGGGUUGUAGGACCGCGACAUUGUACUGAAAUGGUGAGUGGAAGUAUCUGGAAAGUUACAUCACAGAAGGUGAUAAUCCUGUACACGAAGCCAGAUCAGGCAUAGCGGUAUCCUGAGUAACGCGGGACACGAGGAAUCCUGCGCGAAUCUGCCGGGACCAUCCGGUAAGGCUAAAUACUCCCGUGAGACCGAUAGCGAACGAGUACUGUGAAGGAAAGGUGAAAAGAACCCCGAGCAGGGGAGUGAAAUAGUUCCUGAAACCAUACGCCUACAAGCGGUCGGAGCAUCGCAAGAUGUGACGGCGUGCCUUUUGCAUAAUGAUCCUACGAGUUACCGUCACUGGCGAGGUUGAGUGUCAUAAGACACGUAGCCGCAGUGAAAGCGAGCCUGAACAGGGCGCACAGUCAGUGGGGGUAGACGCGAAACCAAGUGAUCUACACUUGGCCAGGAUGAAGUCCCGGUAACACGGGAUGGAGGUCCGCACCAAUAAGCGUUGAAAAGCUUCUGGAUGAGCCGAGUGUAGGAGUGAAAGGCCAAUCAAACUUGGAGAUAGCUCGUACUCCCCGAAAGGCAUUUAGGUGCCGCGUCGGAUGGUCACCGUGAGAGGUAGAGCGACCGAUAGGACAAGAGGGCUUCACCGCCUAUCGAGUCCUGACGAACUCCGAAUGCUCACGGUCUGCAGUCCGGCAGUAAGGGGGCGGGUGCUAAGGUCCGUCCCCGAGAGGAGAAGAAUCCAGACCGCCGUCUAAGGUCCCGGAGUUCUGCCUGAGUUAGUCUAACGAAGUCUGGUCCCUAUGACAGCUAGGAUGUUGGCUUGGAAGCAGCCAUUCAUUCAAAGAGUGCGUAACAGCUCACUAGUCGAGGGUCCGGGCAUGGAUAAUAAUCGGGUAUAAGGCAGACACCGAAGGCGCGGGAUAGCAUUUAAGAAAGUAUCGGUAGGGGAGCAUACUCACAGCGUCGAAUGGUGUACGUAAGUUAUCCUGGAGCGGUGAGUAAAGCAAAUGUAGGAAUAAGUAACGAUAAGGAGGGUCAGAUUCCCUCCCGCUGUAAGACCAAGGUUUCCCGGGCAAUGCCAAUCAGCCCGGGGUCAGUCGGGUCCUAAGUCUAAGCCGAACGGCGAUGGCGAUGGCAGAGACGGUUAAUAUUCCGUCACUGCCGCAUGGGGCGACGUGGAGACGGAGCAGUGAAACCACCGCGGGGCGACGGAAGUCCCCGUUGAAGAGUGUAGGCGUUGAGGAUGGCAGGCAAAUCCACCAUCCGAGCUGAACUUGAGAGUACGGAGUCCUCCUCGGAGGAAUCUGAUAGUGUGGGUAAUCAUACUCCCGAGAAAAUCCGCUAAGCUUAACCCAUGCGGCACCCGUACCGCAAACGGACACACGUGGUCGGGUAGAACAUACUAAGGCGUUGAGAGAUUCAUGGUUAAGGAACUAGGCAAAUUGACCCUGUAACUUCGGGAUAAAGGGUCCUCGUGAUGAGCGAGGCGCAGAGAAUAGGUCCAGGCAACUGUUUAACAAAAACACAGGGCUGUGCAAACUCGAAAGAUGACGUAUACAGCCUGACACCUGCCCGGUGCCGGAAGGUUAAGAGGAGAUGUCACUCGCAAGAGGAAGCAUUGAAUUGAAGCCCCGGUAAACGGCGGCCGUAACUAUAACGGUCCUAAGGUAGCGAAAUUCCUUGUCGGGU
rnacentral:rRNA from 1 species